AUUGAUUUUGAGGUCACUAGGUCAAAGGUCAAGGUCACGGUGACCCGAAAUAGUAAAACGGUUUCCGGAUGAUAACUCAAGAACGCAUAUGCCUAGGAUCAUGAAACUUCAUGGGUAGAUUGAUCAUGACUUGCAGAUGACCCCUAUUGAUUUUGAGGUCACUAGGUCAAAGGUCAAGGUCACGGUGACCCGAAAUAGUAAAAUGGUUUCCGGAUGAUAACUCAAGAACGCAUACGCCUAGGAUCAUGAAACUUCAUGGGUAGAUUGAUCAUGACUCGCAGAUGACCCCUAUUGAUUUUUAGGUCACUAGGUCAAAGGUCAAGGUCACGGUGAC